rnacentral:lncRNA from 1 species
UCAUUUAAUAUAUAUCAUUUAAUAUAUAUAUAUAUAUAUAUAUAAAUUUUCAAGAAUAAAAGGGAAAAUGGUUUUAACUGUACAUAAGAAAUCAAAAUUAAACACCUCUUGGACGUAUUACAAUAACAGGGAUCCUUAUAGAAGGAGAGUAUAUAAUUACUAUUACGGAUACAACAAAUAUAAGGGCUAUAACUAUUAUUCUAAAUUUCCAUAUGAAGAGAAAUUACAUAAUCGAGGUGAAUAUCAAAUCAAUGAUAAGAAAAAGAAAAGGUAUAAAGAAAUAAAUACGACAAAAGUUCAUAACAAUUUAGAACAUUAUGAAUCAGGAACAGAAACCGAACAUAAUAAAGAGGAAAUGAAUAAAGAUAUGAAUAAAAAAAAAAGUAUUAUAAAAAUACUUCAAAGACCAUCAGAAACUGUGAAGAAUGAAGAUAAAACCAUAAACGUAUUAAAUACUAUAUUUGAUAAAACUAGCAACAAUCGAACUGAAAAAAAUAACAAUAUUGAAAACAGUGAUAACAAUAACACAAGUAAAGAAAUAAACGUAGAUAAAAAGGAAAAAAAAAGUAAAAAGAAGAUAACCCAUGAAACUUCAAAAAAGUUAAAAAAAGUUGUAGAUAGUUUUAAAUUUACAUCAACACAAGAAUUAUUGAAUCUACUUAUUAGUGAUGCUAAAGAUAAUUCUCAUGAUAAGGAUAGUAAUAAAGAAGAAAGUAAAACACGUGUUGAUGAUACUGUACAAGAACAACAUAAUGAACUUAAUAAGGAAAAAAGGAAUAGCUCAAAAGAUAACAUUAUUAAAAAGAGCAAAUCUGGACAUGAAAAAAAGAUAACUAGUAACUUAGGAAUGAUAGAUGAGAAGAAAGAAAAUAAAAGACAUGAUAAGAUAGUACAAAAUGGAACAGAUAAAGAACAAAAAACUAUUAAAGAAUUAGAUGAAAUUAAAAAGAACGACAGAGAAAAUGCGUUGUUAACACAAAUGAAUAGUAGUGGUAUUUUAGGGAAACAUAUGAAUUAUAACAGUAACAACAUUUUGAAUAGUAAUGGGAACAAAAAUUAUGGUAGCACUCAUUAUGGAAAUAAUAAAUACGGAAACAACAAUUAUGGAAACUGUAUUAACGGGGGCAAUAGUUUUAAUAAUAAUAUAAAUAUGAGAAGUUAUGGUAUGAAUAAUUAUAAUACUGUAGAUCAUUAUAGUAUGAACACGUACGGUAUGAACACAUAUGGUAUGAAUAAUUACAGUUUGAAUAAUUACAGUAUGAAUAAUUACAAUAGUUGUAACUAUAAUUAUAACAAUAGUUAUUAUAAUAAUGUUAUGAAAAAUAAUUAUAGUAUUAAAGACAAGUUUUUAGCAGGUAAAAUUCUUCGUAGUACUUCACGAAUAAAAACAUUAACUAACCUUAAACAAUUUGAAAACGCUUCCAAAUUAUUUAAGAAUAAAAACGCAUAUAACAUUAACAACUCUACUGGUAAUAAGAAUAACAACUUAAUGAACACUGAACAUAUGAAUUUAUAUGAUAAUAAAAACUUUUUAAAAUUAUUGAGAAAUAGUAACAAUAAUAAUAUUAAUAAUAAUACUAUGG